rnacentral:piRNA from 1 species
UGCUGACUUGCAUUGCUGGCUAUUCA